rnacentral:lncRNA from 1 species
AUGAGGUUGGAGGCAUGCAGGGUUCCUUCCAGGUGUAUAAAGGGGGCCUCAUCUGCCUUGUGUGAAGAGGCAAACUGUAGCAGCAAUAUCUCCUCUCCACUCACAGCAAUAUCUCCUGUCUUCCCAUGUUCUCCAAGGUUGUGGUGGAGGUGGUGGGCAUGCAGAGAGACAAACAAGAGAAGAGGAAUAAUGGAGUUCUUCUGCUUCCAAGCCUGCGCAUUGUGGCUUCAAGGUGCUGGAAAAAGGUCACAGGAGCACAUUUGGCUUCCAAAGAAGUUCCCAGCUGUAAUAAGGUGUUCAGUGAGGAGUCUUCUAUGUUCCCCACAUUUGGCCAUCGCCUGUCCUGGAAAACAUGGGAAUCUCUGA